UUCUUGAUUUCAUCUUUAUGAUUUGUGUGACCUGAUGACAUCAUCACUUCACUCAAAUGAAUAUUCAUAUUGACUGGUCAAGAAGUGUUUUCCGAAUCAUAACUUCCAUCUUUUCAUGAUUUUUGUAACAUUUUGUAGGGAAUAUUUUUUUUUCCUUUUUAUGAAUCCAGUUAUUUGGGCCUGGAGUUCUUUAUUAAUUCUAAGUUAAAGAGGAAAAAAAAAGGGGGGGAGUGACAUAUGAUAUGUUACUUUACAGUUGACAUACACUGUAUAACUAGAUGUUCAUGUAGAGCAUUUCAUGAUCCUCUUUUGACAGAGUCAGAGACGUAACCGCCGCAUCUCACCCUACCAUAUAGCGGAGAGGUGGUGCGGCCUUGGAGAAGAUCAGGAGGGAUUUAAAAAAAAAAUUAUCAACGAUGACAUAGGACAUGGACUUGUGACAAAUAAACCCUUUUUAAAGGGAGAUUUCCUCCUGGAAUAUCGUGGAAUAUUGUCCAUUGCUGAUGAUCAGGAUGAUGAGAAUGCGGAUUAUGUUUUCCACUUCUCGCAUAAAAGUACCGAGUAUCGGAUUGAUGCAUCAGAUAGCAAUUCUUGCCUCGCUAGGUGGGUCAACGAUGAUCAUGUGCAUCCAAAUAGCAUCAUGAAAAAGGUUGCAUUUGAUAAUAACUCCCCACAUUUGUGCUUGUUUGCUUUGGUGGACCUUAAAGAAGGUGUGGAACUAACAUACGACUAUGGAGUAAAGAAUUUACCUUGGCGGCAGCCCAGUCUGGAAAAGGAAAAGAACAUACCAUCUUCGAGCUCUCAAAUGAGAGGGAUGGACCUCCUGGGUCUAUGGAGCCAAAAAGUAGCCAUCCUGUUGCAAAAAGGUCAAAAGCGGAACGCAUUACCUGGACAGCAGCACAACACCAUGCUGUAGACACAUUUUCAAAAGAAAUUACAGGACAUUCCGAAUUCCAGGGAAAGAAGAAUGUGAGGAAUGUAGAAAUAAGUAUCCUGAACUUGCAACACUACCCUGGACUAAGAUUAAAUACAGGGUUUAUAACAUUAUUAAACAAAACAAACUAAAAUCCUAUUGAAUCCAUCUUACCUCAAUGAAGAAAAGUGUACACACACACAUGUAUGUAUAUAAAUAUGAUUUAUUGCACUCCAUGCAAAUCAUGAGGUUUGAUUCAAUCACAAGCAAAAACAAAUAAAUGAAUAAAAUGAUAAUAAUUCAAUUGUAUACUAUGCAAACAUUCAAAUAAUUUAUAUAAAUGUCAGAUAAUACAAAGCAAAAAGGUUUGUAAUUAAUAUGGAUCACCUUGAUAAAAGUUAUAGCUGCAAGAAUGGUAAUUUGUAUAACUGCUGUUGAAUUGUCAAACCAUGAACAAACUUUCUACACACAAUCGGAAAUUGCACUUGAGAAGAAAAAAAACGAUACAAUAAAUUCAUUGCUGAAAUAAAACAAACAUAAACAUUCCUUUAUAAGAAAUAUGGAUGUGAUUGACAUUCAAUCUGCAUCGUACAGCAUGGACUGCAAUGUAUUAUAACAAAGAGAAUAUGCGUGUGUGUCAGCAUUUCUUUUAUAAGCAAAGUGUAUAAAGGUGGAAAGUGUGCACAUGUGCAGAAUACUCCAUCCACAUUUUAUAGCUGUACUGUGCAUUACUUGAAAUUAAUAUUUUUUCCUGACCUAUUUGAUUUCUAUCCCAAGUUAUGUGUAAGAGAUCAAAAUAAAUAUUCCAUAUUUCCACGAUAUUCCAGGAGGAAAUCUCCCUUUGAAAAGGGUUUAUUUGUCACAGGUCCAUGUCCUAAAACUGGAGAAGGAAAAUAUUUUGUUAAAGUUAAAAAAAAAAGUAAAAAAAAAAAAAAAACCUUAU